rnacentral:lncRNA from 1 species
CUGCCGAGGGUGGGACAAAACGAUGGCAUCGAUAAUGGCGAAAAUCUUAUUAGGGCUGAGCCUGCUCAUCGCCACACUGGAGGGGCUGUCUGCGCAGAAGGAGACGCUAAAUCCUGAAGGCUGUGGCGUGUCCUACUUCAAGACCAUGAUAGUGAACGGCACUGAAGUCAAAGAAACUCAGUAUCCAUGGGCGGU